ensembl:snRNA U6 U6 spliceosomal RNA
GUGCUCGCUUCGGCAGCACAUAUACUAAAAUUGGAACGAUACAGAGAAGAUUAGCAUGGCCCCUGCGCAUGGAAGGUGCUUAAGUCAUGAGAGUGGGGCCCUCAUUAA